UUUCAAAGCCAAAAACCUCCCUUAUUGAUUACCUACGAGAACCUAUCUCUUACGUUGAUCGAAAGGGGGAUCAAAUCUCCCUUACAACUACUAUUUCUAAACAAGGUUCAACAUUGUCUUUUCUAAGCAGUCAACACUCCCAAUGGAGUUUUCAUGAAUUCAUGUUCAUCACUAAAAAACUAACUAAAUAAACCUAGCUACCAAGUAUUCAUAAUUUGGCUAAAUAUUACAUAAUUAGGGCCUAAAAGUGACCAAAAUGCAAGAAAAGGCUCACUAGGGGUUGUUUUGACCCGCUCUUGAAAUGUUAGAGUGGAUCAAAAGAUCCAAAGUACCUUGGGUGCAUGACAUUUCAAGGAGAUUUCGAGCCCCAUUUUGCACUUCUUAAAACCCGUCAAAGUCCUUUGACCCUCCUUAAUGGUAAUCUUAAGCCACAUAACAUCUUUUAAUAGAACUAAGGGCUCAUCAAUCACCUCGAGCAUCAUAAGUAUCUCAUCCAAAGGCAAUUAUGCUUGUAUUAGGUUUCAUAUAUUGGGUAUGGUGAAUUCUAAUGGAGUAGACUUCACUUUCUUUCAGUUUUUUGGGCUAGUUAAAUAGUGGAGAAGGACCUUUGUAGAGGGUAUAAUAUUUGGACCACCUCCUCUUUUAUGGGAUUAGUUUACCGAGUAUUCUCAGAGGAGUUUGCAUAGAGAUAUGAGCAGAUUGCUAGUCUAAGGAUUUAAUGAUCAUAACAAUAUGCAUGGUGGAGGUUGGGAUCUUCAUGGUUAUGCAUGGAGAGGCUUAGAUCAGGGUGGUCGUUCAGGUUCAUCAAGCUUAGUUCAACAACUCUGAAUUUUUUGGGUUGCUUCUUAUGUGAGGAUUUUGGGAACUAUAGUAUUGAUUUUCCACAACUUAGAUGGAGAGAGGCUUCAUUAGUUUCUCUAAGAUAUCAUAUGUUUCAGUAUCAACUUCCACAUGAAGGACUCAAGGCAAAAACUU
rnacentral:lncRNA from 1 species